UCUUUUAUUAUGAAUAAAGUUUAUUUUGAUUUAAUAAAAAAAAAGUUCUCCCAGGACGAGGCUAGCCCAUUGCACUUCGGGUGCGCUGAUGCCUGCGAUGCCCCCAGAUGCGGGAUACUCGACUUCAAAAUUUGUGGUAGUGAGGGACUGCAUUCGUGCUCUCCCCUG